CUGGUCUGGUGCUCACACCACAGCAGUGGGCUUUCAAGCCUUCAUUUUCAUAUUUUGUUGGAAGAAAAUUGACCCAGAGAGAAAGCUGAAGCUUUUAAGGCAUUAAGAUGCCGAGAGAAGCUUGGAUAGACCCAGCAUGAAUUUCACUUAAGGGGAAAAAAAUGUUUGCUCUCUGAGCCUCCUGGCCAGGUGCUGCCCCCGGCACAGCUGCUGAGGCAGGACCCUGGACCCAGCUCUUCGGCAGUGAGUGCAUUACAGCCUGCGAUUCAGGGCCGUGAUGGAUCAGGGCUGCCUCGGGCCAAAUGGAUCCCUAACUGGAGAAGGUAAGACGGGGAUAAUGAUAAUAGUUAUUUUGUAACAGUACUGAAAUUCCAUGAGCUAAUUCACAUCAAUCAGCACAGUGCCUGGCGCAAAGAAACCACUCAGAAGUUAUGGCCAUGAAAUGUGCCCAUGAAGUGCUGCUCCGUAAAGAUACAGCUGCUGCUGGAGACGAAGACGCUUCGGAGCCUUCCUUGAAUCGGAGGGAGAGACCAAAGCUGAUCACACCCAGUCCGCCCCCAGCAAGGACAUGCCUGCUAAUUUGGGAUUAUUUAAGAAGGUUCAGGGUUAAGAUCGAACCUUGCUUAGCAACUAAUUUAUGAAGACAUUGCCAACUCAUUAUGCCAACAAGUUGAAUGGGAUAAUAGAAAAAAUAACCCAGAGAGCAAAAUGAUCCCCCGCAAAGCACUUAAUGUCUACUUGAACCACAGGUCCCUUAAGUGCUCAUUUCCAUAAAAUUCUUGUCUGUUAAUUCAGAAACUCCUAGAGCUGCAUGGAGUUCUUCGCAAGCCCAUAAAGGAGGGCUCUUCAGCAACACGUGGUUGGACUAUCUCGUACACCCGGGCGUGCGUGCCAUUCAACAGAGUGGCAUGUCUUCAAACGUCUUCCUCGCUGUCUGAGAAUGGAACCUUCCCGCCUGAGCCAAACGCGCCAGUGACGCUGGACUGUGCCUGGCUCCGGGGGGCCCGUGCAUGCGGGAUGAUGCGGAGAUGCCUCUGCCUAGCAGCGUGACAGUUUCUCAGCAUCCACACCUUGGUGGCAGCCCUGCUUUUGCUGGUUGUUAAUGAGAUGGUUGGUUUGGCCUGUAAGCGAAUUGUACAGCUAACUAAUGUGUCUGUAGCUUGGAAUUAUUUAUUGCUCGUGAUUGC
rnacentral:lncRNA from 1 species